CACGGACCAAGGAGUCUAGCAUGUACGCGAGUCAUUGGGCUCUCGAAACCUAAAGGCGAAAUGAAAGUAAAGGUCGAGUUUACUCUUCCUAGGGGUGAUGGUCGUGCUAAUCAUGCCUUCCCGCAACCCCGGGGCUGCUCAUCCUCUUGAGGAGAGCAGCACCUUGAGCGCACAUGUUGGUACCCGAAAGAUGGUGAACUAUGCCUGGCCAGGGUGAAGUCAGGGGAAACCCUGAUGGAAGCCCGUAGCGAUUCUGACGUGCAAAUCGAUCGUCAGAGCUGGGUAUAGGGGCGAAAGACUAAUCGAACCAUCUAGUAGCUGG
rnacentral:rRNA from 1 species